CUAUUACUAUUUUUGUGUGUUGUUCUUUCACAUAACUAAAACUAUAGAAGUGUAAAAAAAAAUAGGCUGUGUCAAAUUAUUCCAAGGGACAUACAUGAGGGUCCCUGGUAUAUUCUUU